rnacentral:rRNA from 1 species
ACGAACGCUGGCGGCGUGCCUAACACAUGCAAGUCGAACGAGAAAGGGGUAGCAAUAUCCCCGGUAAAGUGGCGAACGGGUGAGUAACACGUGGGUAACCUGCCCUCGAGCUCGGAAUAACCCGCCGAAAGGUGGGCUAAUACCGGAUAACGUUUUCGACCCCUCGGGAUUGGAAACCAAAGAUGGCCAAUGCUUGCAAGCUAUCACUUGAGGAGGGGCUCGCGGCCCAUUAGCUAGUUGGCGGGGGUAACGGCCCACCAAGGCGACGAUGGGUAGCCGGCCUGAGAGGGCGAUCGGCCACAUUGGAACUGAGACACGGUCCAGACUCCUACGGGAGGCAGCAGUGAGGAAUUUUGCGCAAUGGGCGAAAGCCUGACGCAGCAACGCCGCGUGGGUGAUGAAGGCCUUCGGGUUCGUAAAGCCCUGUAGGUCGGGAAGAAUGGAAAGGGCAGCUAACUACUGCCAUUUCUUGACUGUACCAGCAGAAGGAAGCACCGGCUAAUCUCGUGCCAGCAGCCGCGGUAAUACGAGAGGGGCCAGCGUUGUUCGGAAUUAUUGGGCGUAAAGGCGCCGUAGGCGGGUUGUAAGUCUUGACGUGAAAUCCCUGAGCUACAACUGGGAACUUGCGAUCUUAAACUAGCUUGGAUGAGUCCGGAGAGGGUGGUGGAAUUCCCAUGUGUAGGAGUGAAAUGCCGUAGAUAUAGGGAGGAACACCGGUAGGCGAAGGCGGCUACCUGGGACGGAUAUUGACGCUGAGGUGCGAAAGCUAGGGUAGCAAACAGGAUUAGAUACCCUGGUAGUCCUACGCCUGUAAACGAUGGGAUACUAGGUGUUGUAGGGAGUAUAGACCCCCUGAUGUGCUGACAGCUAACGCAUUAAGUAGCCCCGCCUGGGGAGUACGGUCGCAAGGCCUGAAACUCAAAGGAAUUGACGGGGGCCCGCACAAGCGGUGGAGUAUGUGGUUUAAUUCGAAGCAACGCGCAGAACCUUACCUACCUAGCCGGCUCGAAGUCGCAGAGGAAUGCGAUGAAGUUCGGCGGCCCGCAAGGACUGCUGAGAGAGGUGCUGCAUGGCUGUCGUCAGCUCGUGUCGUGAGAUGUCGGGGUUAAGUCCCGCAUAACGAGCGCAACCCCUUAUCCUUAGUUGCCAUCAGUAAGGUGGGAACUCGAAGGAAACUGUCCGGUUAAAAGCCGAAGGAAGGCGGGGAUGACGUCAAGUCCUCAUGGCCCUUACUGUCAGGGCUACACACGUAGCUACAAUGGCAGGUACAAAGCCGUUCGCUAACCCGUGAGGUGGAGCUAAUCGGUAAAACAGCGCUCUCAGUUCGGAUUGCAGUCUGCAAUUCGACUGCAUGAAGUUGGAAUCGCUAGUAAUCGCGGAUCAGCAAGCAGCGGUGAAUACGUUCCCGGGCCUUGUACACACCGCCCGUCACAUCACGAAGAGUGGUUAACCUAGAAGUAGCCUGAGCUACCGCAAGGAGGCAAGUUACCAAGGUUGUAGUCCGUGAUUGGGGUG